UCAGCGUCCUGGGCCAGCUGGUGGGGUGUCUCACUCUGUGCCGUGCGGAGCAGGAGCAGGAGAUCUGCCAAUCGGCUGUGGAGGGACUUCGCCACCUCUACUCCUUCAUGCUGCAUCUAAAAUCUGAAAGUCUGAGGAAGCUCGGUGCAGAGUAUCGGCAGAUCCUCAAGAACAGUCAAGUUGAGACAGCCUUCUGGGUCACCAACACCAGAAAUAUCACAUUGAUUUUUGGGAAGUACUUGGAGCCGUCUGAAGGCAUGGACUUUCUCCUCACUGCUAUC